rnacentral:rRNA from 1 species
GUCCACGCUGUAAACGAUGAUAACUCGCUGUUGGCGAUAUACAGUCAGCGGCUAAGCGAAAGCGUUAAGUUAUCCACCUGGGGAGUACGUUCGCAAGAAUGAAACUCAAAGGAAUUGACGGGGGCCCGCACAAGCGGUGGAGCAUGUGGUUUAAUUCGAUGAUACGCGAGGAACCUUACCAGGGCUUAAAUGCAGAGUGACCUUUCUGGAAACAGAGAUUCUCUUCGGAGCAAUUUUGCAAGGUGCUGCAUGGUUGUCGU